AUUGAACGCUGGCGGCAGGCCUAACACAUGCAAGUCGAAUGGUAACAGGAAACAGCUUGCUGUUUCGCUGACGAGUGGCGGACGGGUGAGUAAUGUCUGGGAAACUGCCUGAUGGAGGGGGAUAACUACUGGAAACGGUAGCUAAUACCGCAUAACGUCGCAAGACCAAAGAGGGGGACCUUCGGGCCUCUUGCCAUCAGAUGUGCCCAGAUGGGAUUAGCUAGUAGGUGGGGUAACGGCUCACCUAGGCGACGAUCCCUAGCUGGUCUGAGAGGAUGACCAGCGACACUGGAACUGGAACACGGUCCAGACUCCUACGGGAGGCAGCAGUGGGGAAUAUUAGACAAUGGGCGCAAGCCUGAUGCAGCCAGGGCGCGUGUAUGAAGAAGGCCUUCGGGUUGUAAAGUACUUUCAGCGGGGAGGAAGGGAGUAAAGUUAAUACCUUUGCUCAUUGACGUUACCCGCAGAAGAAGCACCGGCUAACUCCGUG
rnacentral:rRNA from 1 species